GUUUAAGGAUGAAAAUAAAGUUUGAAAUUUUAGACAUUUGAAAAGAAACAAAAACUUUUUUGCUUUACGUGUGUGGGACUGCUGAGCAUGCUAGGUUCCUCCAAAGAUCCACAUUAUCUCAAGGUAGAAUGAAUCCUUAGGCCACAGAGAGCUUUACAGGCCUGGGAACACAGCCUGGACCUGUUGCAUAGCCUCCUUUUACCUGUGAUCUGCUUCAAAAUAUAGUUAAACUUCUGGUCUCCAAGUCAGAGUUUGCUAAAGACCUCUUUAGGCUGCCACCUCUGUAAUUUUCAUGUCAUAUAACACGAAUGGGGCUCCCAGGUAGGAAGGGAGUUUUGGUUGAGUUAAGUGACUUACGUAAUACAAGUAAUUGUGCUUGUAUUACUUCCUGAGCCUUCUCAGUCCCCUAGCAAUCUUGGGCAGUCAUACAGCUUGGAGAACUGAUGACUUGGAGAAUUUGUUCCCAGCCUGUUCAUUCCUGGUAAUGAGUAAUCCCUCUCAAAUCCCAAAGGACAGGGAGCAGGCUGUAAUUCUGAAGAGUGGAUAUUCUUGAUGCCACAGCAGUUUCCAUACCAGCCUUCACCAAAAGGAAAUAUGCCAGACAGGGAAUGCCGAAGAGUAAACUUUCUACAAGUGAUAGUAUCUAGGAUCCAUUGUGUCAUGAAUCAAGUUUAUAAACUAGAUUUCAGUUUCCUUAGACCUGCACUGUUUAGUAUAGUAGCCAAUUAGCCACAUAUGAUUAUUUAAAUAUAUCAUUUAAAAUGAAAUACCAUUAAAUUUAAGAUUCAUUCCUCAGUUACACUAACCACCUUUCAAGUGCUCAAUACCUACAUCUGGCUAGUGGCUACCAUACUGGAUAGCCCAGAUAAGGAAUAAUCCUAUCAUUGCAGAAAGUUUUCUUGGUCAGUGCAGAACUAGACUAUUUUGCGAUAUCAGUGCUAAAUAUAAUUUCCUGAUGAUAACAUUUUCAUAUUAUAAGUUGUAAAUACCAUGAAAAUCCAUCCCUAAGUAAUAGAUUAUCAGUCAGUUGACUCUCCAC
rnacentral:lncRNA from 10 species